rnacentral:lncRNA from 1 species
CAUCAUAGUAACCUGCAUUAGAUUGAAUAAAAUAAAACUCAUUGUCCACCGCGUAAAUUGGAUUUUUGAAUCCAACACGUAAUUGGGCAAUGGACCCAUACAAUGACCCGACCAGAAUAACUUUACCCGAUGACGUGUACCCUAGUUCCUUCCAGCGUCUUCCCCAGCACAAAACAGGCUAAUAGAACUCGGCAUUCUACUUCUUUUGCAUCGGUUCAGAAACUGUAGUCACUCUGGUUGAAAUUGAAGGUUCUCACAGUAAAACUUGUUGAAUUGAGUAAUGGAAGGGAAUGCGAAAAGCGACCAAAUCGUGGAUGUAGGAUCGGUAGUGGAGGCCGUUUCAGUCGAUGACGGUGAUGCUCCUCUCUACAGCCUCGAAAGUCUUUGCAUGCGAUGUGGUGAAAACGUAAGCUUCUCCCCAUUCUCCGCCACCUUUUCCUUUUCCUUUGGCUUUUCAAUGAAUUCACUUUCUACUUUUUCGCGCACCUUUUGCGUGGUUAACUCAGGGAUUAAAUUCUCCAUUCUUUUACUCUCACUAGUGCAGAAAUGUAAAACAACGACCCUUUAUUUAGUGCGGCUUUGCGUUUAAACGCAUUUGUAAAAAACGCGGUGGCAUUUUUGUAAUUAAAUUGAUUUACAAAUGCGGUUCUAGGGUAAGACCGCAUUUGUAAAUCAAUUAAAAUGAAUUACAACUGCUUUGCAUUGUAAGUUUCAGCUCUC